rnacentral:rRNA from 1 species
GUGGUAAUGCCGGAUGCUCCAGUUGAUCGCAUGGUCUUCUGGGAAAGCCUUUGCGGCAUGGGAUGGGGUCGCGUCCUAUCAGCUUGAUGGCGGGGUAACGGCCCACCAUGGCUUCGACGGGUAGCCGGCCUGAGAGGGCGACCGGCCACAUUGGGACUGAGAUACGGCCCAGACUCCUACGGGAGGCAGCAGUGGGGAAUAUUGCACAAUGGGCGCAAGCCUGAUGCAGCGACGCCGCGUGAGGGAUGGAGGCCUUCGGGUUGUAAACCUCUUUUGUUAGGGAGCAAGGCAUUUUGUGUUGAGUGUACCUUUCGAAUAAGCACCGGCUAACUACGUGCCAGCAGCCGCGGUAAUACGUAGGGUGCAAGCGUUAUCCGGAAUUAUUGGGCGUAAAGGGCUCGUAGGCGGUUCGUCGCGUCCGGUGUGAAAGUCCAUCGCUUAACGGUGGAUCCGCGCCGGGUACGGGCGGGCUUGAGUGCGGUAGGGGAGACUGGAAUUCCCGGUGUAACGGUGGAAUGUGUAGAUAUCGGGAAAGAACACCA